UACGUAGGGGGCAAGCGUUGUCCGGAAUCAUUGGGCGUAAAGAGCGUGUAGGCGGCCCGAUAAGUCCGCUGUGAAAGUCCAGGGCUCAACCCUGGAAUGCCGGUGGAUACUGCAGGGCUAGAGUCCGGAAGAGGCGAGUGGAAUUCCUGGUGUAGCGGUGAAAUGCGCAGAUAUCAGGAAGAACACCAAUGGCGAAAGCAGCUCUCUGGGACGGUACUGACGCUGAGACGCGAAAGCGUGGGGAGCGAACAGG
rnacentral:rRNA from 1 species